AAGUCGUAACAAGGUUUCCGUAGGUGAACCUGCGGAAGGAUCAUUAACACGUAUCCAACGUUAAACAACCCGUGAACCUUGAACGUGCCCAUGAACUCGGCGACCAGUUUUAAGUCAGAACGGCUGUUCAGGUGUAAGCGACCUGGCAUCCCCAAGCGAUCAGUGUCUGAAAGUGUCAUUGAUUGUGUAAGGAUGCGCAGUAAACGAUUGCUAGGCCCACGGCCGGCAACCGGGUCCCAGGGCUCGCCCCUUUAUCACCCCACAGUUUCCGACUGGGCAGCCGAUAAUACGGACGCCGUAAAAAACUGAACAACUGUUAACAAUGGAUAUCUUGGUUCUC
rnacentral:misc_RNA from 1 species